CGUGCCUAAUACAUGCAAGUAGAACGCUGAAGAGAGGAGCUUGCUCUUCUUGGAUGAGUUGCGAACGGGUGAGUAACGCGUAGGUAACCUGCCUGGUAGCGGGGGAUAACUAUUGGAAACGAUAGCUAAUACCGCAUAAAAUGGAUUAUCGCAUGAUAAUCCAUUGAAAGGUGCAAAUGCAUCACUACCAGAUGGACCUGCGUUGUAUUAGCUAGUUGGUGGGGUAACGGCUCACCAAGGCGACGAUACAUAGCCGACCUGAGAGGGUGAUCGGCCACACUGGGACUGAGACACGGCCCAGACUCCUACGGGAGGCAGCAGUAGGGAAUCUUCGGCAAUGGACGGAAGUCUGACCGAGCAACGCCGCGUGAGUGAAGAAGGUUUUCGGAUCGUAAAGCUCUGUUGUAAGAGAAGAACGAGUGUGAGAGUGGAAAGUUCA
rnacentral:rRNA from 1 species